rnacentral:rRNA from 1 species
GGGUUGUGAGGUUAAGCGACUAAGCGUACACGGUGGAUGCCCUGGCAGUCAGAGGCGAUGAAGGACGUGCUAAUCUGCGAUAAGCGUCGGUAAGGUGAUAUGAACCGUUAUAACCGGCGAUUUCCGAAUGGGGAAACCCAGUGUGUUUCGACACACUAUCAUUAACUGAAUCCAUAGGUUAAUGAGGCGAACCGGGGGAACUGAAACAUCUAAGUACCCCGAGGAAAAGAAAUCAACCGAGAUUCCCCCAGUAGCGGCGAGCGAACGGGGAGGAGCCCAGAGCCUGAAUCAGUGUGUGUGUUAGUGGAAGCGUCUGGAAAGGCGCGCGAUACAGGGUGACAGCCCCGUACACAAAAAUGCACAUAUUGUGAGCUCGAUGAGUAGGGCGGGACACGUGGUAUCCUGUCUGAAUAUGGGGGGACCAUCCUCCAAGGCUAAAUACUCCUGACUGACCGAUAGUGAACCAGUACCGUGAGGGAAAGGCGAAAAGAACCCCGGCGAGGGGAGUGAAAAAGAACCUGAAACCGUGUACGUACAAGCAGUGGGAGCCUCUUUUAUGGGGUGACUGCGUACCUUUUGUAUAAUGGGUCAGCGACUUAUAUUCUGUAGCAAGGUUAACCGAAUAGGGGAGCCGAAGGGAAACCGAGUCUUAACUGGGCGUUAAGUUGCAGGGUAUAGACCCGAAACCCGGUGAUCUAGCCAUGGGCAGGUUGAAGGUUGGGUAACACUAACUGGAGGACCGAACCGACUAAUGUUGAAAAAUUAGCGGAUGACUUGUGGCUGGGGGUGAAAGGCCAAUCAAACCGGGAGAUAGCUGGUUCUCCCCGAAAGCUAUUUAGGUAGCGCCUCGUGAA